AUUACAAAUUGUACUGAGUAGAACUUCCAGAAAUCAUAAAAGAGUUUAGCUAACUAGGGGGUUGUAAAUAACAGCAUCUGCAUCCAAGUAUUUGCGCCAAUUUUAAACCACCAGGCAGGUCAUGCCAAGAACAAUGAGAUUAGAGAAAGCCACAACAAAGCACAGAUGGUGUAGAAGAGAAAAUGAUUUACAUCUAAAUCCUUAUCACAGUUGGAAAAUUGAUUGAAUGAUGAAAUGGUCAUAAGAGGAGGAGAAAAGAUCUUGCAAUAUUAAGAGUUGACCAGCAGCAUAGCUUUCCAUAAAUGCAAUAAUGCCAGUGAACUGUAUACCAUUGGAAGAUUGCAUCAGGAAGAAGAUGACCGUUUGCAAUGCCAGUUAUAAAGCAUUCAAACUUCUUUUUGUGAAUAUUUCAAUCUAUGAAAAUGUGAUUGGGAAAUGUGAUGUGAAACGUGAAUGACAGAAUUGCUCGUGAUUUGCAUCUUUUAUGCCAAUUUAGGAGUAAAAAGAAUGGCAGGAGAGUACUCGGCAUGAUUCUCAAAACUGUGAUUCACUGUGAUUAUUGGAAUGUUUCAACUGUUUACUAUAAAACUCAGCCUUGGAUGUUAAAAUGCUGUGAAACGGUUAAUAUAUUCUAACAUGUAACUGUGCUUUGAAAAAGUAAAUGUAAGAUUAUGAUUUUUUAAAUUUUAAUGACAAUCCUUUACUAAUGAAUCUCAUUCACAUUU